UACGUAGGGGGCUAGCGUUGCUCGGAAUGACUGGGCGUAAAGGGCGCGUAGGCGGUUUGUACAGUCAGGUGUGAAAUUCCCGGGCUCAACCUGGGGGCUGCACUUGAUACGUAGGAACUGGAGUGGGGAAGAGGGUCGUGGAAUUCCCAGUGUAGAGGUGAAAUUCGUAGAUAUUGGGAAGAACACCGGUGGCGAAGGCGGCGACCUGGUCCUUGACUGACGCUGAGGCGCGAAAGCUAGGGGUGUAAACAGG
rnacentral:rRNA from 1 species